rnacentral:rRNA from 1 species
AACGCUGGCGGCGCGCUUAACACAUGCAAGUCGCACGAGAAAGUGGAGCAAUCCAUGAGUACAGUGGCGUACGGGUGAGUAACACGUGGAUCAUCUACCUCUUGAUGGGGAAUAACCCUGGGAAACCGGGGCUAAUACCGCAUAAGCCUGAAAAGGGAAAGCAGCAAUGCGUCGAGAGAGGAGUCCGCGGCCGAUUAGCUAGUUGGUAGGGUAAAGGCCUACCAAGGCAAUGAUCGGUAGCCGGCCUGAGAGGGCACACGGCCACACUGGCACUGAAACACGGGCCAGACUCCUACGGGAGGCAGCAGUGGGGAAUCUUGCACAAUGGAGGAAACUCUGAUGCAGCGACGCCGCGUGAGCGAUGAAGCCCUUCGGGGUGUAAAGCUCUUUCGGCAGGAACGAUAAUGACGGU